UAGGAUGAAAUCUUAAAGAUAUUUCUUUUACAAUGAAAUUAAGCUAUUUGCCAUUCUAA
rnacentral:tRNA from 1 species